GGGAACCGUCUGCGGGAAAGUCGCACGUACGGUUCUGUGCGGGGGGCGGGAACCGGCGCGCGCCACCCUGCGGGAAUUGAGUGCGCUGUCACCGUAGCCCGUCGCGCUUGAUCCGCAUGUAGAAUUGCCGAUAUAGGAAUAGGGCAGGGCAGCGAUCGCAC
rnacentral:misc_RNA from 1 species